rnacentral:rRNA from 1 species
AGUGAACGCUGGCGGCAGGCCUAACACAUGCAAGUCGAACGGCAGCACAAGAGAGCUUGCUCUCUGGGUGGCGAGUGGCGGACGGGUGAGGAAUGCAUCGGAAUCUGCCCAUUUGUGGGGGAUAACCUCGGGAAACCGGGACUAAUACCGCAUACGACCUACGGGUGAAAGCAGGGGAUCUUCGGACCUUGCGCAGAUGGAUGAGCCGAUGCCGGAUUAGCUAGUUGGAGGGGUAAAGGCCCACCAAGGCGACGAUCCGUAGCUGGUCUGAGAGGAUGAUCAGCCACACUGGGACUGAGACACGGCCCAGACUCCUACGGGAGGCAGCAGUGGGGAAUAUUGGACAAUGGGCGCAAGCCUGAUCCAGCCAUGCCGCGUGUGUGAAGAAGGCCUUCGGGUUGUAAAGCACUUUUGUUGGGAAAGAAAAGCAGCCGGUUAAUACCCGGUUGUCAUGACAGUACCCAAAGAAUAAGCACCGGCUAACUUCGUG